AGAAGACACACUUGAGCAGUAUGAUGAUGUCAUCACCACAGGACAAAACUCUGAUCUUCAAAAAGACAAUUAUGAUGUCAUCAUCAAUAGGCAGAACUUUCAAGGAGUUAUAGAGGGAGUUCAGGAGGUGUAUGACAAUGUGAAGAAUGACGGUGAAGAUGUGACAAACGUCUUGGUCUACGCCGAUGUGGUGGAGGAGUCUGUAUGACUCAAUGACCACAACCACUGCCUCAUGAAAUCAUUUUACAGCUUCAGGAGCUUCAAGGAGUUUAAGUGAUUAAAAUUUUGCUACUAAAACUUCGGUGCCUUAUGGUCUUUUUUGUUCUUGGAAAAUAUUUUUCUACUUAAAAUUAUUUUGCAAAUAAGAAUA